GUUGGGGUGGGGGAGAGGAAAGACAAAGGAGGGCCGUCCACAGAGCCACCAGAACCCAAGAAGAGGAAGUACAGCCCCCUUGAUGGUACGGCUGGCAGUAGUCUAGGUGCCAGGAUGCUGCAGGGAGGGGUGAAGAAAGGACUGCUGCUACGUAACAUGCAAGUGGACUGACCCCUGACCUUUAAACCCCGAUCUCUAACCUCUAACCCCAGACAUUCAACAUCGCACAGGACUAAGCUCCCUAGGUACAGAUCUAGGAUCAGCUUCCCCUCCCCCAAUCCUAACCUUAACCCUUUACACUCGUACUCGUAUCCAUCCGGGUUGAAAAUGGCAGAUUUGGGCACCAAUAAAUACCUAAAUUGGAACGUAAUGCUCAUCACAGCGAUGUAUGAGUUUUGACUGACAGACAUUCUGAACUUGAGAACCUCACGCAACGUAAAGCUGCAACCCAUCCCUCCUCGUAACUUUUGCAAAUGUUUUGUUGUCUGAGUGAAAAUGCUGUCAAUUAAGAGGACAAUAUGCAUUAUGUUGAGGAUUAUAAUAAAUAUCGCUUUGAUGUCAUGCAUCGCCUGUGAGUACAGUUACCAGAUGACUUAUCGUCAUACCCUGGGUUGUUCUGAACAGAAUGAGACUAUGGUUGAUGUAGUUACCAGAUGACUUGUCGUCAUACCCUGGGUUGUUCUGAACAGAAUGAGACUAUGUUUGAUGUACAGUUACCAGAUGACUUGUCGUCAUACCCUGGGUUGUUCUGAACAGAAUGAGACUAUGUUUGAUGUACAGUUACCAGAUGACUUGUCGUCAUACCCUGGGUUGUUCUGAACAGAAUGAGACUAUGUUAGAUGUAGUUACCAGAUGACUGUCGUCAUACCCUGGGUUGUUCUGAACAGAAUGAGACUAUGUUUGAUGUACAGUUACCAGAUGACUUGUCGUCAUACCCUGGGUUGUUCUGAACAGAAUGAGACUAUGUUUGAUGUAGUUACCAGAUGACUUGUCGUCAUACCCUGGGUUGUUCUGAACAGAAUGAGACUAUGUUAGCCUCUGCACACACACGUGAAUACGGUCAUCACUCCUUUCUCUGCACGCCAACAUCAUGGUCUGUUUCUCUGAAUUGCCUUGUGAAAGCCUAACACUGUAAUGUCAUAUUUUAUAUCUUAGCUAGUCAUGUUGGCAACAGAACAGGCUUUUAAAUGAUGCCCACCUGACCCAGAUUGCUAUUUAUAAUGACAGUGUUUAGUUUGCCUAAACAACAGCAGUAAAUGUGUGAUGACGAGGAGGAAGGGCUGUGUUCCAAAGAAAACAACUACAAGUGUGCUUCCUCUAGUUCCUCAACGGUCCAGCUAGGAGAGCUCAAAAAAGCACCUUAUAGCUGAAGACUUCUUUAAGUCAGAAAGGUGCAUUGAAAUUACUUAGGAACUAUGCACAGUUUGGAGAGGUGUGGCCACUUGGAGACGCCAGUCAGACCUCUCACUCAAACCCCACAGUUUGGAGAGGUAUGUGGCCACUUGGAGACACCAGUCAGACCUCUCACUCAAACCCCACAGUUUGGAGAGGUCUGGCCACUUGGAGACGCCAGUCAGACCUCUCACUCAAACCCCACAGUUUGGAGAGGUAUGUGGCCACUUGGAGACACCAGUCAGACCUCUCACUCAAACCCCACAGUUUGGAGAGGUCUGGCCACUUGGAGACGCCAGUCAGACCUCUCACUCAAACCCCACAGUUUGGAGAGGUGUGUGGCCACUUGGAGACACCAGUCAGACCUCUCAUUCAACCCCUUUAAACCCCAUUUUCCAGCAAUAUUCUUAACAUGUUACUGAAUAUAUCCAGAGUAUUUCAGAUUUCGUUAUCAACCAAUAAUGUGAAAAGUACAGUAUAUGUAAAAUGAACAUAAAAUCAACAGUGUAAUGUUUGAAUUCAGUCUUGUGUCAGGUGAACUGUUGUGUCCUCACCUUUGGUCUAAUAAUUUUCCCAUGAUCUCCAAACUGUUCCCUUUCAAUUGCUACCAUGGUUAUGCAUAUGCUUGUCAUAUUUCGUCUGUAAGAAACAUUUUAAUUCAGCCCUAUCCAUGUAGGCCAAUUCCCAGGAGUGUAAAGGGUUAACCGGAAGUGGGGGGCUGACCCAAGAUGAGCAUUUAGGGGAAACUGUAUCCUACUCCUCUAACUCCUCACACAGACAGGACUGGGACCAUCUGCUCUCCCAUAUCACUACUACAUAGAUAUAUAUAUAUAUAUAUAUAUAUAUAUAGAUAGAUAGAUAGAUAGAUAGAUAGAUAGAUAGAUAGAUAGGCUCCUGUUUUUAAAUUCUACACAUCGGAAGGAAGGAACCGAUGCAGUGUGGCCUGGUUCUCACGGAAAACUUCUCAAAUCUGUGGGAGAUUAACGCUAUGAGAGAUCAACGCUAUGAGAGAUCAACGCUAUGAGAGAUCAACGCUGUGGGAGAUCAACGCUGUGGGAGAUCAACGCUAUGAGAGAUUAACGCUAUGAGAGAUUAACGCUAUGAGAGAUUAACGCUAUGAGAGAUUAACGCUAUGAGAGAUCAACGCUAUGAGAGAUUAACGCUAUGAGAGAUUAACGCUAUGAGAGAUUAACGCUAUGAGAGAUUAACGCUAUGGGAGAUUAACGCUAUGAGAGAUCAACGCUAUGGGAGAUCAACGCUAUGGGAGAUUAACGCUAUGAGAGAUUAACGCUAUGGGAGGUCAACGCUACGGAAGGUCAACGAUACGGGAGGUCAACACUACGGGAGGUCAACGAUACGGGAGGUCAACGCUACGGGAGGUCAACACUACGGGAGGUCAACGCUGCGGGAGGUCAACGCUGCGGGAGAUCAACGCUGCGGGAGAUCAAUGCUACGGGAGAUCAAUAUGGAGGUGAUCACCAACAGUCAGUCAGCCAUGGACGAUAGAGAAAGGAGUUUUAGAUUCACGAAAGAUAACCGUCAUUUGUUUGAUUGGGUUCUGUAUGUAUGGCUUUGGUAUCAUACAGAGAGUGAGAUGACUGUCUCUAAUAGCAGCCCCUGUGACACCCUAUUCCCUACAGGCCCUGGUCAAAAGUAGUGCACUAUAUAGGGAAUAGGGUGCCAAGUGUCUGAAAUGGUACCCUAUUCCCUACAGGCCCUGGUCAAAAGUAGUGCACUAUGUAGGGAAUAGGGUGCCAAGUGUCUAAAAUGGUACCCUAUUCCCAAUGGGCCCGCUGGUCAAAAGUAGUGCACUAUGUAGGGAAUAGGGUGCAAUUUGGGACUUAUUAACUUAGACAAUGUGAGGAUUUUACAAUGAGCACUUUUUUUUUCCUUUUUUUUUUUACCCAGAUAGAGAUGGGGACAGAACAUUCUGAUAGUGAUCUGGCCUCCUAUGGACAAUGGACAUUAUAUCACACUAACAAUGCAUUGGGUGUGAACCAAUAGUAAUAUCAUUCUGAUAUGUGUGUGUAAAAAUUAAAUGUAUAUUGUAAUACAGUAUUUGGUUCUGGAAAAAAAAAGAAGAGAUUUAGUUUGUCUUUUUAUUUGAAAUACUGACUAUCAUGAUCUUUGUCUCAUUUUUAUAAUGUUUUUUUGUUUGAUCGGGUUGUCGGAUCUCAAUCGUUCAAAUUACAAAGCUCCAAAUCUUUUAACCCCCCUAUAACUUGACAGUACCUUGAUAAUUGUAACCCUAGAAUUGACUGGCUUGAUUAACUGGAGUGAUUAACUGGAGUGAUUGACUAGAGUGAUUAACUGGAGUGAUUGACUGGAGUGAUUGACUGGAGUGAUUGACUAGAGUGAUUGACUGGAGUGAUUGACUGGAGUGAUUGACUGGAGUGAUUGACUGGAGUGAUUGACGUUGACUGGCUUGGUUGACUGGCUUGAUUUACUGGUUUGCUGCAGACAUGUUUUGGUACCCUUCCCCAGAUCUGUGCCUCGACACCAUCCUGUCUCGGAGCUCUACGGACAAUUCCUUCAACCUCAUGUUUUGGUUUUUGCUCUGACAUGCACUGUCAACUAUAGGACCUUAUAUAGACAGGUGUGUGCCUUUCCAAAUCAUGUCCAAUCAAUUGAAUUUAUCACAGCUGGACUCCAAUCAAGUUGUAGAGACAUCUCAAGGAUGAUCAAUGGAAACAGGAUGCAGCUGAUCUCAUAGCAAAGGGUCUGAAUACUUAUGUAAAUAAGGUAUUUCUGUUUUUUAUUUCUAAAAAUUUGUUUUCUCUUUGUCGUUAUGGGGUGUUGUGUGUAGAUUGAUGAGGAUAAAAAUUAAUUGUAUACAUUUUAGAAUAACAGGCUAACUACACCGCUCGCGUUGCAAAAUACAUUUAGAAAUCUAUAUUAUUCAAUUAUUGCACCCACACUGCUCGCGCGCGCCAAUGAGCGUCUGUGUUACCAAGGGCUAAAAUAGAAGUCAGUUCUAUUUCUGACGUGGUUCGCGCUGCAAGUCCUGCCUCUCCCAUCUCUUCAUUGGUUUAUAGAAGCAGGUACUCACGUGUCAUCCCCUCAUUGGUUAUACCCACGUGGGUGACAGAAAGACGAACGUUGCCAAUCGCAAUAUAAAGUCAAGAGAAGAAAAAGCCUGUAAGAAAGAGAGAUGACUAGAAAUGACUCGGCUGACCGUUUUAUGUGUGGAUUAGGUGUCAGAGUAGAGGACCUUGUGCAUUUCAGGUAAAAUAACAACUCAAUGUUUAUAUCCCAGGACAAAUUAGCUAGCAACAGCAAGCUAGCUAAAUAGGACAAAUUAGCUAGCAACAGCAAGCUAGCUAAAUAGGACAAAUUAGCUAGCAAGCUAGCUAGCUAAAUUUCCAUACAUGUUUAAUGCUUUUCGACCUGUCCCCAAAUUAAUAUAAUUGGUUCGGAGUUUGUUUUGAUAUUUUAAGCUUGUUACACAGAACCCAACCCGGCUGCGUGCAUGCGCCAUCGUGCAUAAAUGUAUUAUGUCCCCCACACCAAACGCGAUCACGACACGCAGGUUAAAAUAUCAAAACAAACUCACACGUGGGUACCUGCUUCUAUAAACCAAUGAGGAGAUGGCACGUGGGUACCUGCUUUUAUAAACCAAUGAGGAGAUGGGAGAGGCAGGACUGGCAGCGUGAUCUGCGUCAGAAAUAGAACUGACUUCUAUUUUAGCCCUUGGCAACGCAGACGCUCAUUGGCUUGCGCAAGCAGUAUGGGUGCAAUAAUUGAAUAAUAUAGAUUUCUACAUUUAUUUUGCAACGCGCACGCGACACGAGUGGUGUUGUCAGCCUGCAAGGCUGUAACGUAACAAAAUGUGGGAAGAGUCGAGGGGUAUGAAUACAUUCUGAAUGCCCUUGUAUCCUCUGGCUUGUUGAUGUUCUCCGUAUCCACAGCCAGAAUGAUUUUGCAGUGCACGGUGAUCGAACAGAUAUCCUGUUUGUAUUCAUCAGAGGUGUGAAGGGAGGGUGAAGUCUGUGAAUCCCCAAAAUAGUAAAUAAUACAGAUGAUUAACAAAGCAUACACACAACAGUACUCACACCUUGGUUUUUGUGGUGAAUGUAAAUGGGGGGGAAAAAAACUGUUUUUCGAUAAUAGUUUUCAUACACAUACCUUGUCCAUAAUGUAGAGGCCUCUGGGAUUUUCAUUGAAGAGGUAAGGCAGGAGGAUGGUACAUGUGAUCUGUAUAACAUACCAAUACCUUUGUAUGCCUCCCCGUCUGUAUACCUGCAGAUACAGACACAAAGGUGAGCAGUUCAGUCAUCUGCACCCAAUACAGCCAGUCUUCAACAUAUCCUUCUUAGCACAAAUAUUACCUCUUUGUUGAUUGAUAUCCAUUGAAUUGUUUCGCCUAAUUUCCUCAGUAGAGUAGAGUAUUAAUUUAUUACGACAGGGUAGCCUAGUGGUUAGAGUGUUGGACUAGUAACCGGAAGGUUGCAAGUUCAAACCCCCGAGCUGGCAAGGUACAAAUCUCUUGUUCUGCCCCUGAACAGGCAGUUAACCCACUGUUCCUAGGCCGUCGUUGACAAUAAGAAUUUGUUCUUAACUGACUUACCUGGUAAAAUAAAGAAUGUAUCUCGA
ensembl:lncRNA